rnacentral:SRP_RNA from 1 species
GCCUGUAGUCCCAGCUACUCGGGAGGCUGAGGCUGGAGGAUCGCUUGAGCCCAGGAGUUCUGGGCUGCAGUGCGCUAUGCCGAUCGGGUGUCCGCACUAAGUUCGGCAUCAAUAUGGUGACCCUCCGGGAGCGGGGGACCACCAGGUUGCCUAAGGAGGGGUGAACCGGCCCAGGUCGGAAACGGAGCAGGUCAAAGCUCCCGUGCUGAUCAGUAGUGGGAUCGCGCCUGUGAAUAGCCACUGCACUCCAGCCUGGGCAACAUAGCGAGACCCCGUCUCUU